GUUCUUAUUUUUCAGGUCUAAAAUAUCAAGCUCAACAGCUAUUUUAAGAGCCAACCCUCACAAACCUUCCUAAAAACUAAAAGAGCUAUUACUGAGUCUCAGCGAAUCUUGCCAUGAUCAGCUCUUCCCAGAAGAGAAGGAAGACCAAGGAAAUGAUUUGCUCAGGAUGAGGAAUGAAGAUGGCCAUCUUGUGCUCAAACAAACAGAAGUCCUCUGAUGAUCUCAUCAGCCAAAUGAGGGGUUUUGACCAAGUGAUGCUCUUGAAAGGAGUGAAAGGAUGUGGUAAAUUGUCUUCAGAGAAAAAGCUUCUCAAAAGGUCUCAAA